AUACUUUGCUAAGGAUGUUACUUUGGUCCUUCAGCCAGUGGUCAGAGAACAGAAUGACCAUACUGCAACCACCCAUGGUGAACUGACUGGCACACCUACAAAAAUCUUAUCUUUGGGGUCCCCAUAGUACCCAGUGGAUUGCCUUGCACAUUGUAGGUGCUCAGUAUGUGUUUGCUAAAGACAUGACCCUGGAUAAAUCACUUCACCUCAAUUAGUCUGUUUCCCAAAUCUGAAAAUAAAAGCAGUGAAAUGGACAAGGUGACAGUUAAGGCCUUGAAUCAGAAGAGCCUCUGACAAUGUGACAAAUAGCUUAGCCAUUCCUCCAAGACUGAGAUAAAAUGUCACUCUUGGUUCAGGAGCUGUGGCAGUAGGAGAACAUCAGGCAACUAGUCCUAGACUUAUCAUCAUCCCCAUGGAAGGAGUGUGAUUGUAAGUCUCUCUGAGGACAUCACCAGGGACUUACCUCUUGCCUUCACAUCCUGAAGAGCUGACAGUUCUCUGUAUGGCCUUCCUCUUUACACUGUUUUCCUUCA
rnacentral:lncRNA from 1 species